UACGUAGGGAGCGAGCGUUGUCCGGAUUCAUUGGGCGUAAAGAGCUCGUAGGCGGUUUGUCGCGUCUGCUGUGAAAUCCCGAGGCUCAACCUCGGGCCUGCAGUGGGUACGGGCAGACUAGAGUGCGGUAGGGGAGAUUGGAACUCCUGGUGUAGCGGUGGAAUGCGCAGAUAUCAGGAAGAACACCGAUGGCGAAGGCAGAUCUCUGGGCCGUAACUGACGCUGAGGAGCGAAAGCAUGGGGAGCGAACAGG
rnacentral:rRNA from 1 species